GAUGAACGCUGACAGAAUGCUUAACACAUGCAAGUCAACUUGAAUUUGGGUUUUUAACUUAGGUUUGGGUGGCGGACGGGUGAGUAACGCGUAAAGAACUUGCCUCACAGCUAGGGACAACAUUUGGAAACGAAUGCUAAUACCUAAUAUUAUGAUAAUAGGGCAUCCUAUAAUUAUGAAAGCUAUAAGCGCUGUGAGAGAGCUUUGCGUCCCAUUAGCUAGUUGGAGAGGUAACGGCUCACCAAGGCGAUGAUGGGUAGCCGGCCUGAGAGGGUGAUCGGCCACAAGGGGACUUAGACACGGCCCUUACUCCUACGGGAGGCAGCAGUUGGGAAUAUUGGACAAUGGACCGAGAGUCUGAUCCAGCAAUUCUGUGUGCACGAUGAAGUUUUUCGGAAUGUAAAGUGCUUUCAGUUGGGAAGAAACAAAUGACGGUACCAACAGAAGAAGUGACGGCUAAAUACGUG
rnacentral:rRNA from 1 species